GCUGGCAGGGUGCGAUGCUCGUGCUGGAGUCGGAUCCAUUACCGUGGCUACUGAUGAAGCGAGUCAGUACCUGCUAAUAGGACAGGCAGGUGGAGAAAAGGAUAAUGUGGAGCAGAGCUUCCAACAUCAGGUCUAAGCUACUGAGUGAAGUCCCCGGGAGCCCUUUAACUGACUCUAAGGAGUGAUCAACCGGGCAGCUAAACAAAAACCAUUUCUCCCUCCCACCCAGCACAAAAAGGGAUUGAACGGAAGGAGACUUUUCCUUAUCCAUCCCGCAGCGCCAGGAUUUCAAGCAGUAAGCGAUGGUCCUUGGGAAGCUUUCAGACUCCUCCUGUCUGUAUCACGUACCUGGGUAUUUUCUUUUUUGAGCAGGACUGCUGCCCGGGUGCCGGUGAGAAGGUACCCAGCCCUUGCUGUGGAAGACUGGGAUAUCUCAGGAACAACUUUGCCCUCCUUAGACAGUACUUGGGUAGAAAUAUGAAAUACAAAUAAAAAGCAGCCGCGGUACGAUAGUUAUUCUGACUUUUUAAAAACAACACUUUUAAGAACUGCCACGGCAGAAAUAAACACUCUCGCUCUGCGGAUGAUGUCUCAAGGGAAAUACACGCUUGCUUUCUUUGUCUCUUUUUCUUUUGGGAGGAUGACAACUGAUAUAUUUAUAUAUAGGAGAGAGUCUGCCUAUUUUAUCUGAAGACUACAAGAAAUUAUUCAAGCUUCAAGCAACUCUCUGCUCCGUACUUUUAGGAAGAAAAUGAGCAAAUUGAAAAUCCUCUUGCCUUUCACAGGAAGGGUGUUGCCAAAAACAAGUACAAGAAAAAAGGCUGGUGGGGAUGAAGACACAAAGAAAAGCAACUCCUUUUCUUGAAGAGGAAUCUCCUAAUUUUGGGAUGGAGGAUAAACAGAAAUUUUACUUUUUCUCCCUGCUCUUUAGAAAACCUCCUCUCACAACACGACGGCUUACAACCUGCCGACGGUACGAAGGACGCGCGACACAUAACCACGCACGUUACAAGACCCAAUUGAUCGCGGUUUGUAGAUACAAAUAUCAGCUACUCGAAGGUGGGUAUUUGGUGCUCUUCUGCGAGACGCUAUCAGCUCCUGGUGAGACGGACAGCAAAGGUCAGUAGCUGAGCUCGUGGAGAGAAAUGAGGUGAAAGAACCCGAUUGUGUCGGACGCUUUGAAGCUGACUCAGCAAGGUCAAAUGCGCAAUCUUUAAAUUAAAUGCUUUGAAGCUGAAUUAAUUGUCAUAUGAGCUUUAAUUCUUUUAAUCAGGUGCCUGUUUUCAUCUGACCAAGAGAUGUUAUUUCUCUGUCAGGAUUUCAUUAGCAGUGCCUGCCUCACUCCCUGUCUCUCCCCACCUCUCUGCUUUCCCUGUGAAAGGCAAGGUGUAAAAAAUACUGUGCUGCUAAUACAGACAAUUCCAGCACUUCCGAACUUUCUCUCUAUUUUAGCUUCAACUAUCCAAAGCUCAUCCUCGUCAAGCAAAAGAAGAAUGUCUUGCACUUUCAUAUUACUGCACGUUGCUCAGAAUGAGAGAUAAAUGAGAGACAGUGCCAUAAAUAUAGCAUGGGCAGUGCAAUUUUAAAAGCAAAACUUGAACAAAGUGUAAUUGCUGUGUGUGAGUAUCACCGUGAUCAAACUAAAUACGCACAGCUAUUAGUAAACCUGUAUUUUAUCCCUAAGUGGACUUGGCUUCUCAGUGACCACUGCGUCGAGGAAACAGCUGGAUUGUUAAUACAAAUCUCUGUCACAUCAGUCCACUUUGCGCCACUGAGUAGUUUUAAUGUAUUGUGGACACAGUCCACAGUUAUUGAGAUUAUUGAGAUUUAUCCCCAAUUACUGAGAGUUUUCCCGCAACGGCUGUGCUGUAGACAUGGGCACUGUAAACUGAUUUGUUGCUUGAGGCUUUGCACCACCUCUCGUUAAAGCCCAGAGCAGCACACUGCUGCCUUUUGGGUCAGCGUAUCAGUAAAUUAGUAUCAGAUUCUUUUUGCAGCUAACCUCAACAACAAUUCCUAGUCACAACUGCUCACAUUUAAGUGCGUGUCUAAAUUGUUUUCUUGUAUCUGAAAUACACCAAUUAAGUAUUAAGCCCUGGUAAUGUAUUAAUUAGCUUUUUUUUUUUUUUAGUUUAAUGCACCUUUUAAUUAACUGAAGCCAGAAAUGCAGCUUACAUCUUUAAAAUUCUAAUCCUUUAAAUCAUUACGAGUUUCAUCCUAAGCUUACCGAAAUCAAUAGAUAAACUCCUGCAGCUUUCCCAAGAGCUAAGUACCUGUAAUUAUAGCUGUAAGGUGAGAUUCCACAGCUUGGACAGAAACUUGUCUUGAAUUUUUUGCUGCUUGGUUUCGCCCUCUGCACAAAGGGUAUCGUUCCCUGCCUACGCAGUAACGAGCAGGGCUCAGUGAGUAUUGUGUACCUUUGAGUUUAGUUUUUAAUGGUCUCUAAAUAACGGUCUCUACAGUGUUAAGAGUCACUUGGGAAUAAAAUUCAGUCUUCAUGUGCUGGAUUUAGAGCUUGUUAAAUGCAAGUGAACUUUCAGCUUAAACGGGUGCAGCAAUCUCUGCGGCUCAUCCAUGUUCUGAUGAGCUAAGGCUCAUCAUCUUGUUAACAACGUACGAGUGUAUGAAAUUCGUAACAAGUUAAUUCCUCAGGCCUCUCUCCCAAAGAAAGUAGUACAGACUUCCAGCCUCCUCUGCUCAGAUGAGAUACUAUCAGGUGUCAUAGUAACAACUCAGUGAAUAUCAUUUAAUUCUUAUUCAUGAACUAGUCUGGCUUUAGUGGGAGGGAUAUAUGCACAUGAGAAGAAAGAUUCUUGUCCUUAAUCUGGGACUGGAGGAAUCCCUGAAGAUCAGCCUGCUGUAUAUAUGUAAAUAAAUGGUUGCAGGGUAAACCUGCUCAGUCAUGCAGACAUUCAGUGAACAGUUUUAAUGUUCUUGUUUCAAUAGAGGAUAAUUUUAAUUUUUUUUUUUGAGUACUUAAUGGCAGGAUAGAACUUAGAAUAAAUUAAAAGAACGGAGUUUUGAAGAAGCAAGGAAAAAAAAGAAAAAAAGCCAGUCUAGUCUCCCCGAGUUGAGCAGGGGAUUAACUGCCUCCGUGAAAAAGUAAAAAGUGAAGUUCUGCCUGACGCUGGAAGAGUUUUGGUAUGGGCAGCACAUACAGGGAGAGACGCCUCUCCCUUCGGUCGUUCCAGGAUAGCUUAUUUUUAAUACAGAGUUUUAAGUGGGGAAGAAAUAAGAUAUAAUGAGCAAUUACAACAGCACCAGUAAAGUCACAUCCCCAGGGAUUUCUCCCUUGAGAUCGGCUGGGUUUGACUUCAGUGCCCAACAAGGGGCUGGCUGGGGCUGAGGGCUUCCCAGGAACGGGGGCAUCCCCAAAGCAGGGCUCUCCACCCCCGCUCUGUUACAGGCACCAAAGUCACCUCGCCGCACCUCUCCGAGGGAAAGGCUUUUUCUCCUCCGUCCAGUCCGCGUGUCUUCCUGUUUCGUAGGAAUUAGGUUCUCCGUGAUCUUCACACUUCCAUCAGAUUUGUUAGACCUGGGCAAUGAACUCAAAGGGUGCGAGGGAGAGAUGGAUACAGCGUGGUCCUCAGGGCUGAACAAGCCUUGGUUCCCCAACUGGGAGAAAAACUACCAAAAAGCUAAACUUGUCAGCAGAACGGGAAGCAGAAAAUUCAGUGUUGUUCUCUGUGAAGUACAGUGCUUGAGCUCUGCCUCUUUUAUUCUUUUUUUCCUCUUCCAAAAGCCUGAUUUUCACAGUGUACCUCACCAAAUGUAUAACUGACUUUGAUGUGGAAUUCACUCCUGUUUUGUAGCCUUGAAAGCCGUAUUUGAUGAGAAGAGCCUUUUCCCAAAAGAAAUUCAUGAUCAUGAACGAAAAGCGAGGCAACUCUGUGAGCGAGUCUGCAGUGAAGGCAAGAUAAAAAGAAAUAAGAAGCAAGCAAAGCUGGAAGAAAAACAAACCUCCUCUUACGAAGGAGUGUGUGUCUAAAGAACAGCACAUACGGAGUGAGACUGCCUUUGCUACGUGCUAUUAGUUUUUACAGCGCACUCCCUUUUGUCUUAGGGGCAACGUUUUCAGUCAUUACUUGGGAUUUCAUCCUUGCACAGCUCUUAGGUCUGCACUAGGAUCCCAGCUCUCUCGCUUGUACUGUGUUUUUCAUCAAAGUAACUGAAAUCAAUGAGGUUAUUUUUAUGCUUUUUUUUUUUUUUGGUCUGUUUUGAAUCAUUUUUCUGACUGGAGUCCAGCUGAAGUUUCUAGACAUUCAGAUGUUCUUGGAGUGUUUAAAAACAGAAAGUGAUCAAAUCCAGAUCUGAUUUAAACCAAAUAAUUUGGGUCCAGUGAAGUUAUUUGUCAGUUAUUUACCUUCUUCCAAAUGUAAGGUUUUCUGUAAGACUUUCCUGUUCUAACCCUAAAAAGAGAAAUGCGAUGUGAGGCCAGAGAAGAAUCUGAUAUUUGCAGGGAUUUUCUUCCAAAGCAUGUGCUCUCCCCAGGGUCUGAUAUUCAUUAAUUCAGAUUAAACAAGUACUGACCCCAAACUUGAUCUCACACUUCUACCAGACAUCCCUUUGUAUCUGUGAAGCCAUAUGCAAAUGACAAUUAGCAGCCGAGCUGGAUGCUUGAUUGGAUUCAACGGUGUCAAAACGUUCAUCACGGCAAUCGUGGCGCUCUUUCCCUUGGGUUAAAAAAUGAAAAAAAUAUUUGGUGUUUCUUUGGACGUGAAAAAACCCCACCCCAAUAUUCUGACAUUGUUUUACUCUAACCUCCUUUUUGAAUCUGAAGGGCAAGAAAUCUCUGUAGACAACCCAAUUUCCUACAUUUUCCAGCUUAGUACCUGUUCUGGAUAAAUUUGGGGAAAGUAAUUGACUAUUCAAGUGUUCGCUAAACUGACAGAAAUGUUUUAAGAGGUACUUUUUCUAAAAACUCAAGCCCUAAUUCUUUCUCCGCUGGGAGCUUUCCUAUUCAUUAAGGAGCAAGGUCAGAUUAUAGGAAGAAAACAACAAGCUGGUUUCCAACCUGAGAUGCAGCUUCUGCUCAGGAAAUACUGCGCUCUGCAGCAUAUGGUUCUCCUGUACCAUUGCCUUAAUGACUUCAGGACCUCAAUUACACACAUACUAGACGCUUGACGCUUUCUAAGCACUGAAAAAUUAUCCUUGCUCUGAGAAGCUCUACGUUAGAUAAUGAGAAUAAUCAAAUGGCAUAGUGAAACGAAACCAGCAGUUCUCACACAU